rnacentral:misc_RNA from 1 species
AUUUCUACAAAAAUUUCAUUUUCUAAUGGCGGAAUCCAAAUUGGAAUUGAAAUCUCCACCAAACCCUAACUCCUUAAUUGUAUCAGCACAGCCUUCAUCUCCACCGGAAUCACCGCCGGUGACUAGCGGUGGUGGAUUUGUUCCAGCGGCAUGGUUCCGGCAACGGCCGAAGCUAAGAGUGACGACGGAGUUUGACAGCGAUAGCUCUGUAUUCUUCCACAGAAUUUCAUGCAAAGUGCUGGAUAGUUUGGCGAAGUUGAAGUUUUCAUUUCAGAAUAAUGGGAAGGGUGAGAUAUCGGAUCCUCAAUUGGCGAGA